UACGUAGGGUGCGAGCGUUAAUCGGAAUUACUGGGCGUAAAGCGUGCGCAGGUGGUUUGUUAAGUCAGAUGUGAAAGCCCCGAGCUUAACUUGGGAACUGCGUUUGAAACUGGCAAGCUAGAGUCUGUCAGAGGGGGGUAGAAUUCCACGUGUAGCAGUGAAAUGCGUAGAGAUGUGGAGGAAUACCAAUAGCGAAGGCAGCCCCCUGGGAUAAGACUGACGCUCAUGCACGAAAGCGUGGGGAGCAAACAGGAUUAGAUACCCUGGUAGUCCACGCCCUAAACGAUGUCAACUGGUUGUUGGGCAACUUGAUUGUUCAGUAACGAAGCUAACGCGAGAAGUUGACCGCCUGGGGAGUACGGUCGCAAGAUUAAAACUCAA
rnacentral:rRNA from 1 species